ACCCCUACGGGACGCAGCAGUGGGGAAUUUUGGACAAUGGGCGCAAGCCUGAUCCAGCUAUUCCGCGUGUGGGAUGAAGGCCCUCGGGUUGUAAACCACUUUUGUAGAGAACGAAAAGACACCUUCGAAUAAAGGGUGUUGCUGACGGUACUCUAAGAAUAAGCACCGGCUAACUACGUGCCAGCAGCCGCGGUAAUACGUAGGGUGCGAGCGUUAAUCGGAAUUACUGGGCGUAAAGGGUGCGCAGGCGGGUGUGUAAGACAAUUGUGGA
rnacentral:rRNA from 1 species